AGGGGUGUGUGUGUGUGUAUUUGUGUCGGUUGUUUGUGCUGUUGUUUAUGAGGAAAAAAGUAAUUUUAUUUGAAAAAUGGCCAAAAAGUGAGUUCUUCCCAUUCUUGAUCUGCAUUUCAGGUGUCAACACUCCUGCAUUAAUUUUCCUUUCAGUAUGUGUGUUUCAAUUAUUAUACAUUGAUUUAAAACCACAUAUUUUCUACCCACUAUGCCUGUUUCUUUCUUUCAUUUAUGUAGAUCCAAAUUUCUAUUUUCUUUCUGUCUUGAAGAACUUCCUUUAAUCAGAUAUCUCUUUGACAUACUGAUUUCAUUUCCUUUGAACAUAUACACAAUAGUGAGCUUGCUGGAUCACAUGAUAGUUCUAGUUUUAAUUUUUUGAGGAAACUUCAUACUGUUUUCCAUAAUGGCUGUCCUAAUUUACCACCAAAAGUGUAUGAGAGUUCUCUUUUCUCCACAUCUAUACUAGCAUUUCCAAGUUUCUUAUGAGUAAAAGGAAUCCUUCACAAGUACAUUAGACCUUCUAUCAUCACACAGAACUGAAUCAGACAGAGCCUUAAAAGAUUCUUUCAUGCUUCGUAAAGCACAUU
rnacentral:lncRNA from 1 species